GUACUUACCUGGCAGGGGACACCGUGAUCACGAAGGUGGUUUUCCCAGGGCGAGGCUGGGCCAUUGCACUCUGGAUAUGCUGACCCCUGAGAUUUCCCCAAACGUGGGAAAUCCAACUGCAUAAUUUGUGGGAGUGCGGGAGUGUGUUGACGCUUUCCCCUG
rfam:Tupaia chinensis contig238190, whole genome shotgun sequence.